GACAGAGGGUGCAAACGUUGCUCGGAAUCACUGGGCGUAAAGGGCGUGUAGGCGGAUAGAUAAGUCGGGCGUGAAAUCCCCAGGCUCAACCUGGGAACUGCACUCGAAACUGUUUAUCUUGAGUGCCGGAGAGGAAAGCGGAAUUCCUGGUGUAGAGGUGAAAUUCGUAGAUAUCAGGAGGAACACCAGUGGCGAAGGCGGCUUUCUGGACGGUAACUGACGCUGAGACGCGAAAGCGUGGGGAGCAAAC
rnacentral:rRNA from 1 species